rnacentral:rRNA from 1 species
CAUGCAAGUCGAACGAUGCUUUCGGGCAUAGUGGCGCACGGGUGCGUAACGCGUGGGAAUCUGCCCUUAGGUUCGGAAUAACAGUUAGAAAUGACUGCUAAUACCGGAUGAUGUCGAUAAGACCAAAGAUUUAUCGCCUGAGGAUGAGCCCGCGUAGGAUUAGCUAGUUGGUGUGGUAAAGGCGCACCAAGGCGACGAUCCUUAGCUGGUCUGAGAGGAUGAUCAGCCACACUGGGACUGAGACACGGCCCAGACUCCUACGGGAGGCAGCAGUGGGGAAUAUUGGACAAUGGGCGCAAGCCUGAUCCAGCAAUGCCGCGUGAGUGAUGAAGGCCUUAGGGUUGUAAAGCUCUUUUACCCGGGAUGAUAAUGACAGUACCGGGAGAAUAAGCCCCGGCUAACUCCGUGCCAGCAGCCGCGGUAAUACGGAGGGGGCUAGCGUUGUUCGGAAUUACUGGGCGUAAAGCGCACGUAGGCGGCUUUGUAAGUUAUAGGUGAAAGCCUGGAGCUCAACUCCAGAACUGCCUUUAAGACUGCAUCGCUUGAAUCCAGGAGAGGUGAGUGGAAUUCCGAGUGUAGAGGUGAAAUUCGUAGAUAUUCGGAAGAACACCAGUGGCGAAGGCGGCUCACUGGA